UGGGAAGUUGCUCAAUGGUAGAGCACUUGCCUAGCAUGUAUGAAGCCCUGGAUGCAAUCCCCAGCACCACAA
rnacentral:tRNA from 1 species